CACCCGGGCGGGAGUCGGGGCCGCCCGCGGCACAGAAAGAGGAAGCCAGCAACGAAGGCGGAACGGAGCGAGGAUACAGAAGAUUUAUUCGAAGUCCAGGUACAGACUGGCCAACCUGCCUCUACAGCGUCCACAGCGAACACAGGGCUAGACAAGGGAGGAGUUUCUCAAACGGUUUUAAUCGGUUCUCUCCGCGUCACAAGCCAUCGGGUAAGGCAACGGAAUGUGCGUGGGGUCCCCUGUGGCUCCGCGGUCACAAUACUGAGCCUGGAAUUGCUGUUAGCAAAAUAUACAUUUGUGUCACCAUAAAAAACCGCGCCGCCGCCCCUCGGGUCUCACAACAGGUAUAAAAAAUUAUAAAUAUUUACACCCUUGUUACACGCUUUUACGGAAAGGGGAUCCUAGGAGAGCCCCCGGGACAGGACGCGGGGGCGGUAGAAAGAGCACAGAGAAGACAGGAGGAGCGCCCGCCUUCCGGGUCCCAGCAUCAGAGGCAGGCAAAACACAGAAAUGAGACUUUGGUCCAAAAUUUGAAGGAAGAAAAAACCCUGAAGUUUGAGAGCAAGUUUUCUAGGCGACUGCAGGUGAAGGCGUGGUGUAAGGCAACCGGAGGCGAUGCCAGAGGCGGCGACACGCCCGCCCCUUCCCUGAAGCUCAGGGGCUCUAAGAUAGGACCGGGGCUCCCUGUGCCUGACCCACUGGGCGGCCCCGCCUGCUCUCUGGAAACUGGGUCCUGCCUGUGACUUAAUUACAAGGAAUAAAAUAAAAGUAACAGCAUACAAGGUAAUACCACAAGGAAGUUUAGAUUACACUCAUACCAUUGUAUCAUCUUGCUAUAAAAAGUUACUUAAAACUAUUUCUUUUGCAUAUAAAUGAAAAAAGAUUAGAAUAUUUGGUCAACUGGAAAUAUUGCUAGGCACAGACGUCUGCAACUGCAAAGUAUAUAAUACAGAGAUUAUGUCGACCAGCUCCGCAGGUUUUUUAAGGCACAAGGAAGCCAAGUCGUGGUCGGGGCGCCCACCUGCAGGCCCCACGCCCGACACAGGCCCCACCAAGGCAUGGCCCCGAGGGUCUGGCCCCGGGUGUGGAGGGCCGGGAACUCCCGCUGCCACAGUCACCAAGAGCCUGAGCUGUCCCUGUCACCGCAGGGUGAGCAAGGUGAACUAGAUUUAAUUUUUUUAAAAACAGGUAAACUGAUUUCUCUUUAAAAAAAUAAAAUCUCUGGUCUGCUAAGGUCACUUCAGCUGUUUUUAAAGUGGCUUUUCUCUGGAAUGAUGGAAGUUGUCGCCAGGGGGCCCGGCCGUGGGGGCCUGUGCCCCUAGAUGGUGGACUUGGAGAAGGAGACCCGCAGGUGGUGGUUCUCCCCGAGGUCGUGGUUGUGCAGGUCAAUGAGGGCCUGGACCGCCUCCUCCACGGAGCCCAUCUGGAUCAGUGCCAUCUUGCGGUCCUUCCUGCAAGACAGGGGGUCAGG
rnacentral:lncRNA from 1 species